AUAUUAUAUAUUGCAUAGGGUGGAAUCCUAGGUAUCUAGAGUCGAAGAAGGGCGUAUUAUGUUUACGAUAAGCUUAAAUUAGAUUAAUUUUUUUAAGAUCCCCUAAUAGGAUAACCUAAAAAAAAUUUAGAAAUAAAUUUUUUUUAUUUUCUUUUGAAUUCAUAAAAAAGAAAAUGAAAACUCAGUGAACUGAAUCAUCUUAGUAACUGAAGGAAAAGAAAGCAAUAGCGAUUUCCUUAGUAGUGGUGAGCGAAAAGGAACUAGCCUAAAAAAAGAUCUUUUUUCUUUCUUUUAAAAAAUAAUUAAACAUUAUGCCAUAGAUGGUUAAAAGCCCAGUAAUUAAAAGAAGAGACAAUGAGAUAAUAUUAUUUCAUUUAUAGAUCAUUUUUUAAAGUAGUAUAGGAGAAAACCUGUACAAAAAAAUAAGAACCACCUUAUAAGGCUAAAUACUCCUAGAUAACCGAUAGUGAACAAGUACCGUGAGG
rnacentral:rRNA from 1 species